GGGUGACGCGUGGGGGGGGGUCCCCCGAAGUCGUGGAGGUGGAGUGCAAAACGGGGCGGGGGGGGGGACCGGAAGGGAUUGGGGGUGGGCGCCCCCCUGGUUGGGGGUUUGGAGAGGUACCCCCCCCCGGUGGAGGUUUGGAGACGACCCCCCCUGGUUGGGGGUUUGGAGACGUCCCCACCCCCCCGGUUGGAGGUUUGGAGAUGUCCCCCCCCCUCCCCAUGGUUGGGGGUUUGGAGAUGUACCCCCACCUGGUUGGGGGUUUGGAGACGUCCCCCCCCCCUGGUUGGAGGUUUGGAGACGUCAAGGGAUGCUGCUGACCUCAAUGGCUGGAGAUAUAUGGAUCCAAAGCGCAAAGAUUUGGGGACAUUGGGGGGCGCUGCUGCCCUUUAUGCGCGGAGAUCCGGGUCCCAACACCCCCCAUGUCCCAAGAUUUGGGGACGUCCGGGGACGUCGCUGACCUCCGUGUUUGGAGAUGGGGGUCCCGAGACCCCCAACGUGUGGAGAUGUGGGGGACGUCGUUGACCUCCGCGUCCAUUUGGGGACAUCAGGGGACGUCGUUGACCUCCAUGCCUGGAAAUCGGAAUCCCGCAAUCCCAAUGCCCAAAGAUUUGGGAUCGGGGGACGCUGUUGACCUCUAUGGCCGAAGACCUGAAGGUGUGGGGACAUCGGUGACCUCUACGCCCAGAGAUUUGGGGACGUCGAGGGGGACAUUGCAGCCCCCCCCCCCCCCCCCCCCCCACGCUCACGAUUUGGUGCUGGAGCCCCCCCAUGGCUCAGAGAUUUGGGGACACUGAGGAACCUCGCAGACCGCCCCUGUGUUGGAUAUUGGGGACAUCACAGGUUCCCAUUUUGGGGACGUCGGGGACAUCACGAAACCCCCCCCCCCCUCCCCAGUCAAAGACUAUGGAACCCCCCCCCAUGCUUGGAGGCAUUGGGGGGGUCCCCGCUGACCCCUCCCCCCAGCUGGUCUGGGGGGGUCCCCCCUCCCCCCUAAGUUAUUGUCUGGUGCUCAGAGCCACUUUAUUUAUUAAUCAGUACAUUUAUUUAUGGUUCUCCGUUCUCCGAAGUGGGCUGAUUUCCCCCCUUCCCCCCCCCCAAAAAAGGGGGAAUUCCUUGGGGGGGGUCUCCGUGCUCCCUUCGCUGUGAGGACAGCAUGGGGACAAUUUGGGGACAAUGUGGGGACAGCAUGGGGACAGCUUGGGGACAAUGUGGGGACAGCAUGGGGACAACUUGGGGACAGCUUGGGGACAAUGUGGGGACAACUGUUGGGCCACCUGGGGGCAGCACGGGGCCAAUUUGGGGACAGUUCGGGGACAAUGUGGGGACAGCACGGGGACAAUGUGGGGACAGCUGGCGGGCCAUAGGGGCGCAGCGCGCAGCCGGCGCUCGGGUGGCGGCC
rnacentral:lncRNA from 1 species